rnacentral:misc_RNA from 1 species
GUUAAGUUUGUUAUAUUAACAAGUUCGUUCUAUGAGUUUUACAAAGAGUGUGUAAAAGCGAAGGAAUUUCGAGAAAAAUGUUACUUUCUCUCUCGUUCCUUCGAUAAAGGUGCACAGGUGUGAGUGGAUGAAAAACGAAGCGUGCACAAAUGCCUCGAAAGGCCAGCAGCAACUUCUGAAUAUUUCAUUAAUGAUCCUUCCGCAGGUUCACCUACGGAAA